AAAACCCCACAGCUCCUAAGAAUUCUCUCACCUGCCUUCUGCCCUUAAGCUCCAGUAGAUUGCAAAUAAUCUGCUUUCUUUCUGUUCCAGAGCAGCGUUCGGACCCGUUGGAUCGUGAAUCCCACGUAAGGUACCUGCCCUCAGAAGAUUUGAACUUUCUACUUGGACACCUAACACCCACAGUCCUCCAGGUGGGUCCUAAGGAUCUUAGGAUCAACGAUGGGGGUCCUAAGCCAGGGGGGAAGAGGGUCUGGUUCUCAGUCCCCGCCUCGCGGGGAGUGCCUCCCCCUCUGCGAUGGGGGUCCUAAGAGCCAGGGGGCGAAGAGGGUCUGGCUCUCAGGCCCUGCCUCGCGGGGGGUGCCUCCCCCCUGCGAUGAGGGUACUCACAGCCAGGGGCGGAAGAGGGGAUAGCUCUCAGUCCCACUCUCGUAGGGGGUGCCUCCUCUCCUGGGAUGGGGGUCCCAAGAGCCAGGGGGGGAAGAGGGACUGGCUCUCAGUCCCUGCCUCGCGAGGGGUGCCUCCCCCCCUGCGAUGGGGGUACUAACAGCCAGGGGCGGAAGAGGGGAUAGCUCUCAGUCCCCACUCUCGUGGAGGGUGCCUCCCCCUCCUGCGAUGGGCGUCCUCAGAGCCAGGGGGGGAAGAGGGACUGGCUCUCAGUCUCUGCCUCGCGGGGGGUGCCUCCGCCCCCAGCGAUGGGGGUCCUAAGAGCAAAGGGGGGAAGAGGGGCUCGCUCUCAGUCCCCGCGUCGCGAGGGGUGCCUCCCCCCCUGCGAUGGGGGUGCAAAGAGCCAGGGGAGGAAAGGGGGAGGUUCGCAGUCCCCACCUCACGGGGAUUGCCUGCCUCCCUGCGAUGGUGGUCUCAAGAGCCAGCGGGGGAAGAGGGGUUGGCUCUGAGUCCCCGCCUCGCGGGGGGUGCCUCCCCCCCCUGCGAUGGGGGUCCCAAGAGCCGGGGGGAAGAGGGGAUGGAUCUCAGCCAUCACAAAAAUGGGGGGCCUUUAUGUUCAGGUUUUGCCCAAGAAUCAGCUUAUUUGCUUCUUUUACUAGCAGGGCAGUUGCUGCCAAGGCCCUCAAAUAGGGGGGCCAUCCUUUAGCAACCCUGUCUAGUUGUUUAGAGACGUAGGCUACCGGCCUCAGCCAGGGCCCCACAGUUUGGGUUAAAAGUCCAGCUGCCAUCUUUUCUCUCUCUGACGCAUACAAUGGAAAAGGCUUUGUCAGAUCAGGUAGCCCCAGGGCUGGGGCUGCCAGAAGAUUUCCUUUUAACUCAUGAAAAACUUGCUGUUGUUGGGAUCCCCAUUUCAAAAGUUCCGGGUCCCCGCCCCCUUUGUGACCUCAUACAAAGGCUUGGCUAAUACUGCAAAGUUUGGGAUCCACAGUCUACAAAACCCCACAGCUCCUAAGAAUUCUCUCACCUGCCUUCUGCCCUUAAGCUCCGGUAGAUUGCAAAUAACCUGCUUUCUUUCUGUUCCCGAGCUGCGUUUGGACCCGUUAGAUCGUGAAUCCCAUGUAAGGUACCUGCCGUCGGAAGAGGAUUGAACUUUCUACUUGGACACCUCAUACCCACAGUCCUCCAGACAGAAGGACAACAGGUACAAAGCCCUAAGGAUUAUAAAGGUAUGCUGCUUACCAUCAUCUUAGUGACCAAGGCAGCGAAGCUGUUUCUGUACCUUGGAACAGUCUUCCCUGACAAGCCAGAGAACAGCGAUAAAGCCACCAGCCUUGGGAUCAGGACCGAAAAGGCAAGAGUGAUGGAGAUUUCUCCUGCGCUAAGCCAAGAGAAGGUUUCAGCACCUCAGACAGCUCCCACCGAAGUAGCCGCGCUCCCAGCUGCUUGCAGAUGUUGAAAAGGAAAGCCUCGGUUUGUCUUGAGGUUGUCAGCAGUUGCAAGACACGUAAUAAAAUGCAAUGUGUUCCU
rnacentral:antisense_RNA from 1 species